rnacentral:rRNA from 1 species
UGGCAUGCAAGUCGAACGAGGGUGCACUCUUCGGAGUGUAUAUCGAGUGGCGAAAGGGUGAGUAACGCAUAGAUGACAUACCUUUAGGAUAAGAGCAGCUUUGUGAAAACGGAGUUAAUGCUUAAUAAUUACGAACAGAAAUCAAUUUCGUUCGUCAAAGGUGGGCAGCAAUGCCUUCCGCCUGAAGAGUGGUUUAUGUCCUAUCAGCUUGUUGGUGGGGUAAUGGCCUACCAAGGCUAAGACGGGUAGCCGGCCUUAGAGGGUUGUCGGCCACACUGGGACUGAGACACUGCCCAGACUCCUACGGGAGGCUGCAGUCGAGAAUCUUUCGCAAUGCCCGAAAGGGUGACGAAGCGACGCCGCGUGAGCGAAGAAGGCCCUAGGGUUGUAAAGCUCUGUCAGGGGUUAUGAAAUGUAGAUGGGAUAAUACCUCAUUUAUUUGACAAAGGCCCCAAAGGAAGCCACGGCUAACUCUGUGCCAGCAGCCGCGGUAAUACAGAGGUGGCGAGCGUUGUUCGGUAUUAUUGGGCGUAAAGAGCACGUAGGUGGUUUUGUAAGUCAGGUGUGAAAGCCUUCUAUUCAAAGGAAGAACGGCAUCUGAAACUACAGAUCUUGAGUGUAGGAGGGGAGAGUGGAACUUCUGGUGGAGCGGUGAAAUGCGUAGAUAUCAGAAGGAACGUCGGCGGCGAAAGCGACUCUCUGGCCUAUUACUGACACUGAGUGUGCGAAAGUUAGGGGAGCAAACGGGAUUAGAUACCCCGGUAGUCCUAACCGUAAACGAUGGGCACUAAGUAGAGGGGUUUU